rnacentral:rRNA from 1 species
UACGUAGGGUGCAAGCGUUAAUCGGAAUUACUGGGCGUAAAGCGUGCGCAGGCGGUUGUGUAAGUCAGAUGUGAAAUCCCCGGGCUCAACCUGGGAAUUGCAUUUGAGACUGCAUGGCUAGAGUGUGUCAGAGGGGGGUAGAAUUCCACGUGUAGCAGUGAAAUGCGUAGAGAUGUGGAGGAAUACCGAUGGCGAAGGCAGCCCCCUGGGAUAACACUGACGCUCAUGCACGAAAGCGUGGGGAGCAAACAGG